rfam:Ixodes scapularis strain Wikel colony gcontig_1107728639072, whole genome shotgun sequence.
UCCUCGUUAGUAUAGUGGUCAGUAUCCCCUCCUGUCACGCGGGAGACCGGGGUUCGAUUCCCCGACGGGGAG